rnacentral:tRNA from 1 species
AUGAGCCGGCGCCGCGGGAAUGGUUGCGCUCUUUGGAAUCUGGAUUGCUACACAAGACACGGCUUCACCUUGAAACCGGGCGGCAAUGGCUACCCGGUGUCCGACCCCAGCCCCGCACUCGGGUGCCACCACGUGUCCGAUGACCGGCACUGCAGCUCCAGAUCCGUAACUUACCCGCGCGCGGAGGCUCGGGACGCGCAGCUGCAAACGCAGAGCUACGGUGACCGCGGAACCACCUCGAGCUCAGGCGGCGAGACGGUGCAAGUUCCUGGGUCCCCAGGACCCCGAGAAGAGCUGAGCAGCCCGGAGUGGUCUCCAGGAGCAGAGAAUCCGCGUGCUGCGAGCGGAAGCCGAGUCUUCCGAGCCUUGCACUGUGGCAGUACCGUUUUCAGUUCCUUGAUCCGCCCGCCGCCAUCUCAAGCUUGGAGCAGCCUCGCGUUAGCCCCGGGCCCUUCUCGGAGUAUUUGGAAAAAAAUCCCGCUAGGGGACAUUUAUGAGUCUUCUUCCAUGAGUUUGAGAAAGACUAAGUUUUCACAGGAAGAAACACGGUUCAUCCAUGGCAGCAUCUGGGAUUUAUCUUUUCCUUUUCUUUAUAGAAAAAAUAUUUCUUGACUCUUUGCUGAGCCGAACACCAGCCAAAUUUACUUGGUAUAAUUUUAAAAGCGGUAAGUAAAGCGGCCUUAUUCGUGUGGUGGCCGGUUAGCUCAGUUGGUUAGAGCGUGGUGCUAAUAACGCCAAGGUCGCGGGUUCGAUCCCCGUACGGGCCAGUGUUAACGAUUUUUGUUUCCUCUUUUCGAACACAUCGCCUGUGGAUACUGCUGUCUUGUAUCCGGUUACAGAUAGUCAUUAAAUCACAGAGCAGAGAGAUUUGACUUGUAAUUUUCUUUCUUUAAAAGAACGCACGAGAGUUAGGAUGGAGAGCUUAAAAGAAUAAAUGAGGUAAGGUGGGUGCA